GAAACGACUGCUAAUACCGCAUAAUGUCUACGGACCAAAGGGGGCUUCGGCUCUCGCCUUUAGAUUGGCCCAAGUGGGAUUAGCUAGUUGGUGAGGUAAUGGCUCACCAAGGCGACGAUCCCUAGCUGGUUUGAGAGGAUGAUCAGCCACACUGGGACUGAGACACGGCCCAGACUCCUACGGGAGGCAGCAGUGGGGAAUAUUGCACAAUGGGCGCAAGCCUGAUGCAGCCAUGCCGCGUGUGUGAAGAAGGCCUUCGGGUUGUAAAGCACUUUCAGUCAGGAGGAAAGGUUAACGGUUAAUACCCGUUAGGUGUGACGUUACUGACAGAAGAAGCACCGGCUAACUCCGUGCCAGCAGCCGCGGUAAUACGGAGGGUGCGAGCGUUAAUCGGAAUUACUGGGCGUAAAGCGUACGCAGGCGGUUUGUUAAGCGAGAUGUGAAAGCCCCGGGCUCAACCUGGGAACUGCAUUUCGAACUGGCAAACUAGAGUGUGAUAGAGGGUGGUAGAAUUUCAGGUGUAGCGGUGAAAUGCGUAGAGAUCUGAAGGAAUACCGAUGGCGAAGGCAGCCACCUGGGUCAACACUGACGCUCAUGUACGAAAGCGUGGGGAGCAAACGGGAUUAGAUACCCCGGUAGUCCACGCCGUAAACGAUGUCUACUAGAAGCUCGGAGCCUCGGUUCUGUUUUUCAAAGCUAACGCAUUAAGUAGACCGCCUGGGGAGUACGGCCGCAAGGUUAAAACUCAAAUGAAUUGACGGGGGCCCGCACAAGCGGUGGAGCAUGUGGUUUAAU
rnacentral:rRNA from 1 species